AACUUUAUACAAAGGAUUAGAGAAAAUAAUAUACGUAAACACUUAAACUGAACACAAUCCGAAAUAAGAAAUAAAAAGUAAAAAAAAUAAAAAUUAAAUACACCGAUCGAAUCAAUGACAACAUUAUACAUGUUCUUUUGUACUAAUUUAAUAUUUUAUUAAAUAAGUCUUUAAAGUUUUAUUUUGCUAUGAUUCUUUUAAAAAGAAAAACAUUAUAUUUUAUAAAUCUCCUUUUUAUUUACAAUUAAAAGAUAAAAUAAAAAUAUUAAAUACUCUUUUACAAUUUUGAUUAAGAUUAA
rnacentral:lncRNA from 1 species